AGAAUCAACGACUGAGGGAAGAGCAGGCACAGAAUCAACGACUGAGGGAAGUGCAGGCAGAGAAUCAACGACUGAGGGAAGAGCAGGCACAGAAUCAACGACUGAGGGAAGUGCAGGCAGAGAAUCAACGACUGAGGGAAGAGCAGGAAGCAGAG